rnacentral:siRNA from 1 species
CGGUUAAGUGCUUCACAGACGCC